CUUCAACGACCCCAGCCAGAGCGGCUGUUCGGCCGGACGGCCCUGGCCGUAGGUGGCCAGCACCGCCUGCGCCUC
rnacentral:antisense_RNA from 1 species